UUCGCAACUUUGUUUUGACAAUACACAAUAUUCAAUGAGUUUUUUUAUGUAGCAUCAUCUUCAUCUUCUCUCCUAGGACAAUCAUCUCCAUCUUUGGUCCUAGGACCUUCAUCGCCAGCAUGUGGGGGAAGGAGGAGGAGACCGGGGAAUGGGGAAAGCACCACAAGCAAGAAGAUUAGCCAACUGACCUUGAAGGAGAUCAAAUUAUUUGUCCAUCCUUUCUAGCUGACCUUGAAGGGUAUCAAAUCUCUUCUUUUCACUAGCCUUGGUAUCUUGAAGCUCUGCUGUUAGCUUUGCGAUCUUCUCUUCCAUAGCGGAUAUAGCCAAACUAUUAAUCGCCUCGCCUUGGGUAGAAGUCCCUAUACCUUGCAAUCCAGCCCUGUAGCGACGAAACGAUUUAUCUGAAAGGUCGUAUGUUGUCCCCUUUUUAGGACCACCGACAGUAUCCAACCAUAUCAUCUUCUCUUAUUCGUCUGAAAUGGGCGGUCGCUCGCCUUGCUCAUUCGUGAUAUAGCCGAACUAUCAAUCGCCUCACCUUGGACGAAAGUCCCUAUAGCUUGAAAUUCAGCUUGUAGUGCCGAAACGAUUUAUGUGAAAGACCAUAUGCUAUCCCCUUUUUAAGUCCACCAACAGUAUCCAACCAUAUCCUCUUAUCCUUUUCGUCUAAAAUGGGCGGUCGCUCGCCUUGCUCAUUCGGUGGCAAGCUCUAAGUGUACUCCUAAAUUGAUCUUGUAG
rnacentral:lncRNA from 1 species